rnacentral:rRNA from 1 species
UACGAAGGGGGGCUAGCGUUGCUCGGAAUUACUGGGCGUAAAGGGCGCGUAGGCGGACAGUUAAGUCAGAGGUGAAAGCCCAGGGCUCAACCCUGAAUUGCCUUUGAUACUGGCUGUCUUGAGUAUGGGAGAGGUGAGUGGAACUCCGAGUGUAGAGGUGAAAUUCGUAGAUAUUCGGAAGAACACCAGUGGCGAAGGCGACUCACUGGCCCAUUACUGACGCUGAGGCGCGAAAGCGUGGGGGAGCAAAACAGG